rfam:Cephalotus follicularis DNA, scaffold: scaffold11848, isolate: St1.
AGGAACGAUCAUAUCAGCACUAGUGCACCGGAUUCCAUCGAAACUUCGAAGUUAAGCGCUUGAGCGAGCAUAGUUCUACGAUGGGCUUGUCUUAUGACUA